GACGAACGCUGGCGGCGUGCUUAACACAUGCAAGUCGAACGGAAAGGCCCUGCUUUUGUGGGGUGCUCGAGUGGCGAACGGGUGAGUAACACGUGAGUAACCUGCCCUUGACUGUGGGAUAAAUUUAGGAAACUGGGGCUAAUACCGGAUAGGAGCUCCUGAUGCAUGGUGGGGGUUGGAAAGUUUCGGCGGUUGGGGAUGGACUCGCGGCGGAUCAGCUUGUUGGUGGGGUAGUGGCUUACCAAGGCUUUGACGGGUAGCCGGCCUGAGAGGGUGACCGGCCACAUUGGGACUGAGAUACGUCCCAGACUCGUACGGGAGGCAGCAGUGGGGAAUAUUGCACAAUGGGCGGAAGCCUGAUGCAGCAACGCCGCGUGCGGGAUGACGGCCUUCGGGUUGUAAACCGCUUUCGCCUGUGACGAAGCGUGAGUGACGGUAAUGGGUAAAUAAGCACCGGCUAACUACGUG
rnacentral:rRNA from 1 species